GCAAGUCGAACGAAGUAGCAAUACUUAGUGGCAGACGGGUGAGUAACAUGUAGGUAUCUACCCUUUGGUGAGGAAUAACACGAGGAAACUUGUGCUAAUACCUCAUAAGUCUUUACGGAGAAAGCUUUAUGCGCCGAAGGAUGAGCCUGCACUUGAUUAGUUUGUUGGUGGGGUAAUGGCCUACCAAGACUUUGAUCUAUAGCUGAUCUGAGAGGAUGAUCAGCCACAUUGGGACUGAGACACGGCCCAAACUCCUACGGGAGGCAGCAGUAGGGAAUAUUGCACAAUGGAGGAAACUCUGAUGCAGCGAUGCCGCGUGAGUGAAGAAGGCCUUUGGGUUGUAAAGCUCUUUCGUCGGGGAAGAAAAUGACUGUACCCGAAUAAGAAGGUCCGGCUAACUUCGUGCCAGCAGCCGCGGUAAUACGAAGGGACCUAGCGUAGUUCGGAAUUACUGGGCUUAAAGAGUUCGUAGGUGGUUAAAAAAGUUGGUGGUGAAAUCCCAGAGCUUAACUCUGGAACUGCCAUCAAAACUUUUUAGCUAGAGUAUGAUAGGGGAAAGCAGAAUUUCUAGUGUAGAGGUGAAAUUCGUAGAUAUUAGAAAGAAUACCAAUUGCGAAGGCAGCUUUCUGGAUCAUUACUGACGCUGAGGAACGAAAGCAUGGGUAGCGAAGAGGAUUAGAUACCCUCGUAGUCCAUGCCGUAAACGAUGUGUGUUAGACGUUGGAAAUUUAUUUUCAGUGUCGCAGCGAAAGCGUUAAACACACCGCCUGGGGAGUACGACCGCAAGGUUAAAACUCAAAUGAAUUGACGGGGACCCGCACAAGUAGUGGAGCGUGUGGUUUAAUUCGAAGAUACGCGCAGAACCUUACCAACACUUGACAUGUUCGUCGCGACUCUAAGAGAUUAGAGUUUUCGGUUCGGCCGGACGAAACACAGGUGCUGCAUGGCUGUCGUC
rnacentral:rRNA from 1 species